rnacentral:rRNA from 1 species
GACGAACGCUGGCGGCGUGCUUAACACAUGCAAGUCGAACGGAAAGGCCCUGCUUUUGUGGGGUGCUCGAGUGGCGAACGGGUGGGUAACACGUGAGUAACCUGCCCUGACUUUGGGAUAACUUCAGGAAACUGGGGCUAAUACCGGAUAGGAGCUCCUGCUGCAUGGUGGGGGUUGGAAAGUUUCGGCGGUUGGGGAUGGACUCGCGGCUUAUCAGCUUGUUGGUGGGGUAGUGGCUUACCAAGGCUUUGACGGGUAGCCGGCCUGAGAGGGUGACCGGCCACAUUGGGGCUGAGAUACGGCCCAGACUCCUACGGGAGGCAGCAGUGGGGAAUAUUGCACAAUGGGCGGAAGCCUGAUGCAGCAACGCCGCGUGCGGGAUGACGGCCUUCGGGUUGUAAACCGCUUUCGCCUGUGACGAAGCGUGAGUGACGGUAAUGGGUAAAGAAGCACCGGCUAACUACGUG